AAGAGCUCGUAGGCGGUUUGUCGCGUCUGCCGUGAAAGUCCGGGGCUCAACUCCGGAUCUGCGGUGGGUACGGGCAGACUAGAGUGAUGUAGGGGAGACUGGAAUUCCUGGUGUAGCGGUGAAAUGCGCAGAUAUCAGGAGGAACACCGAUGGCGAAGGCAGGUCUCUGGGCAUUAACUGACGCUGAGGAGCGAAAGCAUGGGGAGCGAACAGGAUUAGAUACCCUGGUAGUCCAUGCCGUAAACGUUGGGCACUAGGUGUGGGGGACAUUCCACGUUUUCCGCGCCGUAGCUAACGCAUUAAGUGCCCCGCCUGGGGAGUACGGCCGCAAGGCUAAAACUCAAAGGAAUUGACGGGGGCCCGCACAAGCGGCGGAGCAUGCGGAUUAAUUCGAUGCAACGCGAAGAACCUUACCAAGGCUUGACAUGGACCGGACCGCCGCAGAAAUGUGGUUUCCCCUUUGGGGCUGGUUUACAGGUGGUGCAUGGUUGUCGUCAGCUCGUGUCGUGAGAUGUUGGGUUAAGUCCCGCAACGAGCGCAACCCUCGUUCUAUGUUGCCAGCACGUGAUGGUGGGGACUCAUAGGAGACUGCCGGGGUCAACUCGGAGGAAGGUGGGGACGACGUCAAAUCAUCAUGCCCCUUAUGUCUUGGGCUUCACGCAUGCUACAAUGGCCGGUACAAAGGGUUGCGAUACUGUGAGGUGGAGCUAAUCCCAAAAAGCCGGUCUCAGUUCGGAUUGGGGUCUGCAACUCGACCCCAUGAAGUCGGAGUCGCUAGUAAUCGCAGAUCAGCAACGCUGCGGUGAAUACGUUCCCGGGCCUUGUACACACCGCCCGUCAAGUCACGAAAGUUGGUAACACCCGAAGCCGGUGGCUAACCCCUUGUGGGAGGAGCCGUCGAAGUGGGACU
rnacentral:rRNA from 1 species